CCUACGGGAGGCAGCAGUGAGGAAUAUUGGUCAAUGGACGAGAGUCUGAACCAGCCAAGUAGCGUGAAGGAUGACUGCCCUAUGGGUUGUAAACUUCUUUUAUAUGGGAAUAAAACGUUCCACGUGUGGGAUUUUGUAUGUACCAUAUGAAUAAGGAUCGGCUAACUCCGUGCCAGCAGCCGCGGUAAUACGGAGGAUCCGAGCGUUAUCCGGAUUUAUUGGGUUUAAAGGGAGCGUAGGUGGAUUGUUAAGUCAGUUGUGAAAGUUUGCGGCUCAACCGUAAAAUUGCUGUUGAAACUGGCAGUCUUGAGUACAGUAGAGGUGGGCGGAAUUCGUGGUGUAGCGGUGAAAUGCUUAGAUAUCACGAAGAACUCCGAUUGCGAAGGCAGUUCACUGGACUGCAACUGACACUGAGGCUCGAAAGUGUGGGUAUCAAACAGGAUUAGAUACCCCAGUAGUC
rnacentral:rRNA from 1 species